rnacentral:rRNA from 1 species
UACAGAGGUCCCGAGCGUUGUUCGGAUUCACUGGGCGUAAAGGGUGCGUAGGUGGUGAGGUAAGUCGGAUGUGAAAUCUCCAAGCUCAACUUGGAAAUGGCAUUGGAAACUACCUUGCUCGAGGGUUUGAGGGGGGACUGGAAUACUUGGUGUAGCAGUGAAAUGCGUAGAUAUCAAGUGGAACACCAGUGGCGAAGGCGAGUCCCUGGAAAACUCCUGACACUGAGGCACGAAAGCUAGGGGAGCAAACAGG